rnacentral:rRNA from 1 species
GUGUCAGCAGCCGCGGUAAUACGGGGGGGGCAAGCGUUGUUCGGAAUUACUGGGCGUAAAGGGCUCGUAGGCGGCCAUCUAAGUCGGACGUGAAAUCCCUCGGCUUAACCGGGGAACUGCGUCCGAUACUGGAGGGCUUGAGUGUGGGAGAGGGAUGCGGAAUUCCAGGUGUAGCGGUGAAAUGCGUAGAUAUCUGGAGGAACACCGGUGGCGAAGGCGGCAUCCUGGACCAUGACUGACGCUGAGGAGCGAAAGCCAGGGGAGCAAACGGGAUUAGAUACCCCCGUAGUCC